GCCGCAGGGAGAAUGAGGGGCUUUUGGGGGCACUUGUGUUUCAGUUUCACCAUCAUAAUGCCCCUAAAAAUCCUUAUUGCUCUUGCACUGAUC
rnacentral:pre_miRNA from 17 species